GGAGGGAUAAUAUGGCCAGAGAGAGUUUGCUUUCACAACAAAAGCACUCUUAUAAUAACCUAUACAGCUACCAGUUCAUGAGUGGAUGAAUUUGUUUCUCCAGGAAGAGCCCAAUCCCUCCUCCAAAGGUCUCAGCUCUCAACACUGUAUUGGAGAUCUGAAUUAGAUACAUCACAGGGAUGAAGAAACUCAACCCAGCCCCUUGGGCCCUGAGCACCUCCUCCCUGGAGAAAGAAGGCGUUCCCUCAGCAUCUCCUGGAUGGAAGCUGGAGUGUCUUCUCUUUCCACCUACCCUGGUCAAGCUGAGACUGCUCUGGGUACCUGACACAAGUCCUGGUGUGCAUCUUCUCUGUAUGCUGGAGAGGUGAAGACAGUGAGAUCUAGAGUUACCAGGUCCAGCAGUGGAUGAAAUGAUUGGUUGGGUCAGGGACCGUGCCACUCGAGGAUAAAGGCCAAGAAGAGAAUGUGCAGGAUAUCCCGUGUGGCGUCUUUCAUUUGGCUAAUUUCUGUUGCACUUGUUCCACCGACGUGAGCAGAGUAAAUACAGAGCCGGUAUCUACGAGCUUCUUGUUCAAGAUAGCGAGCAGUUAGUCAAACAUACACCCGAACAUGCGAUUUCAACCGUAACCUCUGCCCACCUGGUGAGAGCCGUAUCCGAGGGAACUCCAGCUGAUUUGACAUGGAUGAAGAAAUGAAGGGUCUGAGAGGUUCAGCUGCCUGCCUCCCAACUGCGUGGUUAGUGAACCACUAGAUCAAGACCUGAGGAGAACUGUCUAUUUGGCCCUACACCUGUCCUUGCUCUGGGGGACUCACCGUCUCUGUGUAGAGAACAGAGGGGCCUCCCCAACUUGAAGGGGUAGGAGAACAUGAGGGUUGCUCCUCCCUGUGUUGAGGAAGGAAGGUCUCUGCAGUGUAAAUGUGAAGUCUCAUGAGGUAAACACAACUGCUUUGGGUUCAGCGACACCGGUGGUCUUGUCUCACCUGCAUACUCAUGUGUAGGUCUAAACGUUACAGCAUGCUUCCUACUCUGAAGCCGUCCCUGCAUAGAGGGAGCUCAGCCCUGCACAAGAGACAAGGCCUGCUUACCCGGCUA